GCCCUUAGAGUUUGAUCCUGGCUCAGGAUGAACGCUAGCGGCAGGCCUAAUACAUGCAAGUCGAACGGCAAGGUUCCUUCGGGAACCCUAGAGUGGCGCACGGGUGCGUAACGCGUAUGCAACCUACCUUUUACUGGGGGAUAGCCCGGGGAAACCCGGAUUAAUACCCCAUAGCAUCAUAACCUGGCAUCAGGAAGUGAUUAAAGAUUUAUCGGUAAAAGAUGGGCAUGCGUGCCAUUAGCUAGUUGGUAGAGUAACAGCCUACCAAGGCGACGAUGGCUAGGGGGUCUGAGAGGAUGAUCCCCCACACUGGCACUGAGACACGGGCCAGACUCCUACGGGAGGCAGCAGUAGGGAAUAUUGGUCAAUGGGCGAGAGCCUGAACCAGCCAUGCCGCGUGAAGGAUGAAGGCGUUCUGCGUUGUAAACUUCUUUUAUAUGGGAAGAAAAAGGUCUUGCGAGAUCAACUGACGGUACCAUAUGAAUAAGCACCGGCUAACUCCGUGCCAGCAGCCGCGGUAAUACGGAGGGUGCAAGCGUUGUCCGGAUUUAUUGGGUUUAAAGGGUGCGUAGGCGGGUUAUUAAGUCAGUGGUGAAAGCCGACAGCUCAACUGUCGAACCGCCAUUGAUACUGGUAAUCUUGAGUAUAGUUGAGGCAGGCGGAAUUUACGAUGUAGCGGUGAAAUGCAUAGAUAUCGUAAAGAACACCGAUAGCGAAGGCAGCUUGCUAAACUAUAACUGACGCUGAGGCACGAAAGCAUGGGGAGCGAACAGGAUUAGAUACCCUGGUAGUCCAUGCCGUAAACGAUGAUUACUCGAUGUUGGCGAUACACAGUCUGCGUCCAAGCGAAAGCGUUAAGUAAUCCACCUGGGGAGUACGCCGGCAACGGUGAACUCAAAGGAAUUGACGGGGGUCCCCACAA
rnacentral:rRNA from 1 species